GGCGCUAUAGCCAAGUGGUUACGGCGACAGAUUAGAAUUGCUCGCAGCUCUCUCGUAAUCUGUUCCUCUUUGAGGGCGCAGGUUCAAAUCCUGCUGGCGUCG